rnacentral:rRNA from 1 species
GACGAACGCUGGCGGCGUGCUUAACACAUGCAAGUCGAACGGAAAGGCCUGCUUUCCCUUGUGGAUUGCGGGUACUCGAGUGGCGAACGGGUGAGUAACACGUGAGUGAUCUGCCCCCAACUUUGGUAUAAGCCUGGGAAACUGGGUCUAAUUCCCGAUAGGACUGCAGGGUGGUGCCUGUGGUGGAAAACGAUUUUCUAGUGGUUGGGGAUGAGCUCGCGGCCUAUCAGCUUGUUGGUGGGGUAAUGGCCUACCAAGGCGGCGACGGGUAGCCGGGCUGAGAGGGUGGACGGCCACAUUGGGACUGAGAUACGGGCCCGACUCCUACGGGAGGCAGCAGUGGGGAAUAUUGCACAAUGGGCGGAAGCCUGAUGCAGCGACGCCGAGUGGGGGAUGACGGCCUUCGGGUUGUAAACUCCUUUCGACAGCGAGGAAGCCACCUGGUUGGAAGGGUGGUGACGGUAGUGGUAGAAGAAGCACCGGCUAACUACGUG